UAAAACAGUAAAAAUAAAAGAAAUUAAAAUAUAUCCGUUAAAAUAACAAUAUAUUACAAGUGAAACUAAUGAGGAAGUAUUUAAUAUGACAAUUUCCAAUUUCUUGAUACAUAAAUUAAAAUAUUACCACAAUGGACAGUUUAUAGAGUUAGUAUUAAAUUUUUAUGGCAUUUGUUAUUUGUUCGAGAAAUAGAGCAGAGCAUUCGGGUAAGUUUAAGAGGGGUACUUGGUUAUGGUGUCAGUAUAAAUAAUAA